ACACAUGCAAGUCGAACGGUAACAGGUCUUCGGAUGCUGACGAGUGGCGAACGGGUGAGUAAUGCAUCGGAACGUGCCCAGUAGUGGGGGAUAGCCCGGCGAAAGCCGGAUUAAUACCGCAUACGACCUACGGGUGAAAGGGGGGGAUCGCAAGACCUCUCGCUAUUGGAGCGGCCGAUGUCAGAUUAGGUAGUUGGUGGGGUAAAGGCCUACCAAGCCUACGAUCUGUAGCUGGUCUGAGAGGACGACCAGCCACACUGGGACUGAGACACGGCCCAGACUCCUACGGGAGGCAGCAGUGGGGAAUUUUGGACAAUGGGCGCAAGCCUGAUCCAGCAAUGCCGCGUGAGUGAAGAAGGCCUUCGGGUUGUAAAGCACUUUAGGUUGGGAAGAAAAAGCUUCGGCGAAUAUCCGGAGUGUUGACGGUACCAACAGAAUAAGCACCGGCUAACUCUGUGCCAGCAGCCGCGGUAAUACAGAGGGUGCAAGCGUUAAUCGGAUUUACUGGGCGUAAAGCGUGCGUAGGCGGCUUUUUAAGUCGGAUGUGAAAUCCCCGAGCUUAACUUGGGAAUUGCAUUCGAUACUGGGAAGCUAGAGUAUGGGAGAGGAUGGUAGAAUUCCAGGUGUAGCGGUGAAAUGCGUAGAGAUCUGGAGGAAUACCGAUGGCGAAGGCAGCCAUCUGGCCUAAUACUGACGCUGAGGUACGAAAGCAUGGGGAGCAAACAGGAUUAGAUACCCUGGUAGUCCACGCCGUAAACGAUGUCUACUAGCC
rnacentral:rRNA from 1 species